CUAGUAAUGGCAGGUCAGCAUACUGCCGUGAAUACGUUCCCGGGUCUUGUACACACCGCCCGUCACACCAUGGGAGUCGGGAAUGCCCGAAGUCAGUGGCCCAACCGGAAGGGGGGAGCUGCCGAAGGCAGGCCCGGUGACUGGGGUGAAGUCGUAACAAGGUACC
rnacentral:rRNA from 1 species